GCGGGGGAGGUCGUGUUUACUACCGGCAACGAGCAGGCGGAGGCCAGGGACGCUGCAAAGCAUCCUGCUGUGCGCGAGGCACCCCCCAACCGAGAAACACCCGGCCCCACGCUGACAGCGGUGCCGCCAGAAAGCCCGGUCCAGCUGACUGCAAAUCAUGCGGGGUUUUUUAGCAGAAAACUCCAGGGGAGAAAAGGGGCUACAUUUGAAUCCUCUCUCACCCGGAAGGCCCAAUCGGAGGUAAGUGAAGCUCCAGAGGCACCACGUCAUUUUGGGGAGAAUUACGCAACAAAGCAAAACUGUAACGGACUAUGCCUAUGUAUCUGAAUUUAGGAAGACUUUCGGCCAGAAAGAGCCCUCUUCCCAGCGACACACACAUACGCUUCUAAGGAUGAGGGUAAGAUUGCUGGAGGUCUGCCAAUGCGAUGACUGCACACCUGGCCUAGACAGAGUCCAGCUGCCAGGUCAGGAGGCCUCUGACGGACCACUUCGCCAUCUUCUUCUUCAGCCCUCUCUUCCGUUUGGCCAAGAUGCUGGCUGGUGCUCGUAGUUGCUCUGUGAGACCGUACUUCCUGACGACUCCCGAGCAUGCCAGAGGAGAGAAGUGUCCCCUCUUUCAGCGCGUCAGAAUUGGGCAAAAACGCUAAUCAUGUGCCCUGGUCCUCAAAGAAUGAAACAUUUCAGCAGCUCUUACAACAGAACUUUGGCAACGUUUUCAGCAAAGGGCCAGAUAGUAAAUAUUUGGGGCCUUGCCGCUCACGUGGUCUCUGUCGCAAGGGCGCCGCCUCCGCUGUGCGAGCCUGCGGCAGCCUUGGGCGCUGUGGCCCUGAAUGGGCUUGGCUGGGCGCCAAUAAAACUUUAUUUACAGGAACAGGUGGAGGGAUGGACUUGGCCCCAGGCCUGUCAUUGCGGAGUCCUGCCUCACCACAUGGAUUUCCUGAAAACUGCGUUUCAGCAAACAAGAAGAGGGGAAAGUUCAGAGCGAGCCGCUGCGAAGCAUCGGCAGUAGUUCUCAGCCCCUUCCAAAGAGCGGCCUGGGGACAACUUACCGCCAGGCCGAGGGCCGAGGGGCCGAGGGGCCGAGGGGGCCGAGCUGGAACGGGGCCUGAAGGUUACACAGAAAUCUGGAGGAAGAGAGGCAUUGCCCCCACUCUGGUCGAUAACCCAGAGUUUACUUUCAUUUCCCCACUCGGUUUCUCUUUCAGUUUAAAGCUCUGCUUUUGUCCAGAAACCACCCAUCCCCCUCGGGGGCUGACGCCCGCGGGGAGGCCAGCUGGCCGCGGGGCGCCGAGAGGGACCUCGGGCCUGUGACGGGGCGGCGGGCAGCCACCUGCCCCGUUUGCGGGUGGGGAGGCUUCUCCAGUCCGGGGAGAUGCGCUUGGGAACUGUCAGCACACGGGUGGCGGGGGGAGCGCUGGGGUCGCUCUGACGUCCAGGCCAGCUCUCUCCUCAAACUCAGUGCCGCUCGCUGUGGGAGCCGCUUUGCAGCAAACAGCAUCUUCUCUUGACCGCAGCUCCCCAAGGUUCGGCGUCUACAGAUUAAACCAACCAUGGAUGGAAAUUUCAACCUGCAGUAGGCUGAGCGCACAGUGGAGAAAGCGGGGAAGACAGAGAACCAACCGAAGAAACUCUGCACGCAAGUGAGCCCUCAGAGUUCAAACUUGUGUUGUUCGUGGAUCAGCUGUAACUGGCAGGUGGCCCUUCUGACAGGAACAAGGGUGUGAGGACACAGCGGUGUCAGGGAGACCAACACAGAAACACAGGAAACCCAGAAACACGAGGGGAAGAGGCCACGUAAAGACUGAGACUGAGAUCGGAGUGAGGCAACGACAAGCUACGGACUGAUGCCACUGCCCGCAUCCAGGAGGCGGCAGGGAAGGAGUCUUCCCGAGACGUCAGAGGGAACGCGGCACUGCUGACACUUUAACUGCAGAUUUCUAGCCCCCAGAACCAAAAGGGAGUACAUUUUUGUUGUUUUAAGCCAUCCAGUUUGUGAUACUUUGUCACGGCAGCCCAGGAAACUGAUACACUGUAGAAACAUGUCUUUUAGCUAUGUGAUUUAUCCCUAUUCCCAUAUUUGGACAAAGAAAUGAAAUCGUAUGGUAUGACCAAAACCAUCUGAAUCUUUUGCAGUGGGUGGCAUCCUUGGUUACAUAUUAGAAUCCCUUGGGAGCUUUUUAAAAAUCCCACUGCCCAAGCUGCACCCCAGCCCAAUCAAGUCAGAAACUGUGGAGGCGGGAGGGAGGCGUCAGUGUUUCUCAGUGCCUCCUGGGUAAUCCCAGUGUGCAGCCAAGGUCACCAGAACCAGGCAUCCGGGUGGCGCUCCAGCUGCACAGUCCUUAACGAGACCACGGGCUUCGGAGUUUGUCAGACCUUGGUUUGCUAUCUGGCUUGGCCACCUACUAGCUGUGUCCUUGGGCAAGUCAUUUAAUUUACUUGAUAUUUAUGCUUUCAAACUGAAAAUGAGAUUGUGAAAAUUCAUCUUUUUAAGUGUGUAAAAUAUCUCAAAAUACCAGGCUCCGAGUAGACCCAUAAUAAGUGCUACUUUCCUUUCAUUUUUACAACACGUAGGCGCAUUUCAGUCGGAUGCGUAAGGAUCCAGGCUCUGAGCAAGACGGGGGGCAAUCAGAUGCUGAUUUCAGCACUUACAGUAUCAGCCCUCAGGCGUCUCUCCACACUCUGUUUCCUUAUCUAUAAAACGGGGCCUUGGAGAGUCAUUAUGAAGUUUACAUGGGAUACAUAAUACGAUAAUUUGAUCUGGCUAAAGCACUUAAGACAGUAUCUGGCACAUUUAAGCAUUCAAUAAAUGUUACCUCAUAGUAUACGCAUUACCCAAUAACACUGUGCACGCUCCCCCUUGAAAGUACAGAACCCCACAUGAUAAAUUCCAGCAUCACUUCCCUUCCCCAUCAGAAGCAGGGUGAGCUGGACCAGCCCAGGAGUCAGGAGACUUGAUCUCUGAGCUCAACUGAGAUACACUAAUCUUCAGGACCUGGAUCAAGUCACUCUUCCCUGCUCCUCAUUUCUGGACUCAACUUGUAAAAGAAGGAUGUAAUAAGCUGACCCUUAUGGUACCUUUUAGCAUUAAAAACAAAAUUGUGACCGUCUGAAUAUUAUAAAGUGAUAGAUGAAAUUUUUAGCGUGUUUGGCAAACAAUCCCCAGGCUCUUACGGCAUUUAAGGUUAGGAUUCACGAAAGUCUGCCAUUAACAGGAAAUGAAUUAAAUUCCAUUUUGUUGUAGCAAAGGACAGUCCUGGGAUGUCUUUCAAGACGUUUCAGGCCCCAGUACUCAAGUCCAGCACAUGGCUGCUGAUGGGAGCUGGAGGGAAGACACCAACCUGGCUGCACGGAAGUUUAAAACUUAGGAAACAGCCCCACGUGGAAACACGAAGGGAUACAGUCUCUCUAAGGGGCAGUUAGGCAACACAUAUCAGUAGUCUAAAAAAUACACUGUAAUUUCAUUUCCAGGAACUUAGCCGAGGAAAUACAAUUCAAAUCUGCUUUUCUCAUGCUUUGAGGAUCAGCCAGUUCAGGUAAACAAGGAAAUCAUAAACAACAGCAAAAACACACCAUACAGACUCUAUUAUGACAUCAGUCAAUCAUCAGUCUUGCGUGAAGGACCACAGCCUUUCUCGGAGUUUUGACCACCCCUGAUUAGAAUUCUGUGGCGUCUUUCUUGUGUAAACCACGCCCAUAGGAUUCAUGGUCUUAAUUCUGAGGUGAGACACAGACUUCAAGAUAUUUGGGGAUUGAUAAGACACUAUGCUCUUUCUUGGGUUUACAGUUCUUUUCCCCAACCUAUUUACAGUCGCCUUGCCCUUACCCUCACUUUAUUGUCCCUACCCUGAUUAUCACUUCCCUUUGCUGAGUCUCCUCAAAGCAUUUAAGUCCGUUUGUAUAGUUUUUAUAGAAACAACCAUCCUCUUGCUUUUUCCAGUCUUAUUGCAUAGGCUAGUAUUCCAAUCCACCAAGUCAUGUUAACAACCGGCAUAAACAGCUCCGGGAACAAACGCAAUUAGCUCUUGGUAAGUGCACAUCCCAAACAGUGGGAGCAGAAAAGUGAAAGUCCUCUAUGCAGGCGGCACUGCAGAAGGUGUCGAAAACACCAGUUUAAUCCAGUCAAUGAAGUGGAAGAGUGGUUAAGAGGUUUCUUCUACAUUCGGAUAUGUCAUCAAAGGUUUAUGUACUAAGAUGUUUAUCAGAAUAGUAACUCAUACAGGCAAAAAAUAAAAACAUGGAAACAAGAAAUAUACCCCUAUGAUGAAUAUCUAUAUAAUACACAUGUAUGUGUAUAUAUACACACAGAAAUGGUAUAUACUAAAAACUAAAUUUUAGACUGUUUUAUAUGUAAAAUGCAGAAAACAUUAUCAUAAUGCUCAUGCAUUCAAUAAAGACUUACUAAGCAACAGAACAUUCUGUAAAUUUUGAAACAAAAUUAGUAUUUAGUAUCUUCCUUAUAAAAGUAAAAGUAAG